rnacentral:rRNA from 1 species
UACGGGGGGGGCAAGCGUUGUUCGGAAUUACUGGGCGUAAAGGGCUCGUAGGUGGCCAACUAAGUCAGACGUGAAAUCCCUCGGCUUAACCGGGGAACUGCGUCUGAUACUGGAUGGCUUGAGUUCGGGAGAGGGAUGCGGAAUUCCAGGUGUAGCGGUGAAAUGCGUAGAGAUCAUGAGGAAGACCGAGUGGCGAAGGCGGGUCGCUGGACAGUUCCUGACACUGAGACACGAAGGCCAGGGGAGCAAACGGG